ensembl:lncRNA
AGUUCAGCUCCCCAGCUGUGGCUGUGCAGAGAAUCUCCAGUUUUCCAACAUUAUUAUUCUAACGUUUUUAUCCUACACUGUGCAUUAAUGUAAUAACUAGGGCUUGCAGUUGUCUUACGAUGCCUCCUAGCGGCCAUGUUGGAAGACCACCACAUAAUUUUUUUUGACAACAACAGCUGGAUGGCUACACCCAAACUGCAUGAAAGAAGUGUCUAAACCUAGUUGAUUCAUCACCACGGUAAUUUUAUGUGCAGUAUGUGGCUGCUCUAACAAGGCUGGAAAGACAAUGGGAGAAAAAUAUGUUUACAGAUGACCCGCAAUCAUAAAACACCAAUGAGACAUGACUCAAGAAAAUCUAAGAAACCUUUUGGCCCGACAAGACCUGAUCCCAGACAGCUGACACUACAGAGUCUGCUCUGAUCAUUUAAUCACUGGUUAGACUACUGCAAUGCUCUAUUUUCCGGCUACCCGGAUAAAGCACUAAAUAAACUUCAGUUAGUGCUAAAUACGGCUGCUAGAAUCCUGACUAGAACCAAAAAGCCUUGUCAGCCUUGUCUCAGCCUUGUCUCAGGAUGGACCUGAGCCCUAGGACCAUGCCCCAGGACUACCUGACAUGAUGACUCCUUGCUGUCCCCAGUCCACCUGGCCAUGCUGCUGUUCCAGUUUCAACUGACCUGAGCCC